ACCAGUCACAUACCCAGACAUAUUUCCCUGUUGUGUUAACGCAUAGUUUUUAUACACAUGAGCAAAUGAAAGCUUACAAAACCCUUGGUGCUGGUCAUGGUUGAAAAGGUGAAACAUUCACAAAAACCAAACGCUAAAGCUCUUAGGGCUUGGUGUAUUAUCACCAAAGAUGGUACUGUUGCAAAUGGACACUGCACUUGUAUGGCAGGCAACAGUGAAGUUUGUAGCCACAUUGGCGCUUUGCUUUUCUUGUACCGAUGUGGCCUUUGCCGUCCUUGUCCACAAAAGUGCCAAUUGUUUCAUUAGCCGAAAUGGACUUUGGACCAACUGCUACUUCGUCAACCGAUUCAAUGAUUAUACCCUCAAUAUCCAAGGACUCACUGGUAGAUUUAUAUUUUUUAAAGAGCAUCGAAAGUUUAGGACGUACUGCUGCUAUCGUGAGGAUUGUGGAACCUACGCCUCCAUCGCCUCACUGCUAAAAUCUUGUGUGACUAUGCAAAAGCAUUGAUUGAUUGAUGAGAAGCUUGAUUUUUAUGGAGUACGUAGAAUUUCUUUCAACUGGUUUAAGUCCUAUCUUCAAAACUGGCAACAGUUUGUUAGAGCUAACGAGUCCGUCUCUGACUGUAAAUUGAUUCCCAAUAGAGUCCCACACGGUUCUAUACUUGGA